GCCUGCCUAGCUCAAUCGGAUAGAGCGUCAGACUUUUACGAAUGCGAUUUCGCAAUAACGAAAUCUGAAGGCUGCGGGUUCGACCCCCGCGGUGGGCU